CCGGCCGGCGGGAGGAAGACUCCUCGCUCCAACAGGCUUGCGCGGGCCCCCUUCGUCCUGGAAAAGUGGCCCAGGAGACCAAGAGGUGGGGAGCUGGGCUCCCACACACCUCCACUGGUGUUCACUCUGUGCCAGGCUCUGAGGGACACCCUCAAGGAUCUCCGGUCAUCAGAGAAUACACAUAAACGGUGGCAAUUCAGUACACUACCUACAGGAGGAGAGCUAUGAGACGAAGUGGCUGAACAGAGAAAACAAAAUACAGUGACAAACAGGACAAAGUCCCACCUUCAAGGAGUCUGCAAUCCAGGAGGGGAAGGCAGACAAUUAACACACGCAGACAGACAAAUACCAGGAUAUGAGUACUCUGCAUCUCUCCGCCGCCCCUGAAGUGAGACGGGAUCUUGUGACGGAACUUCUGAACUAUGAAAUAACAGGGUGCCAUUUCAAGGCCAAAGCUUUGAAGAUGUUUUCCCUGCCCUUGCUUUUCCCUAUCUGCCCAGGUAAUA